rnacentral:tRNA from 1 species
GGGAAGGUGGCUCAGUGGUAGAGCACUUGCCUUGCAUGCAUGAGGCCCUUGGGUUCAUUUCCU